rnacentral:rRNA from 1 species
AGUGAACGCUGGCGGUAGGCCUAACACAUGCAAGUCGAACGGCAGCACAGUAAGCGCUUGCUCCUACGGGUGGCGAGUGGCGGACGGGUGAGGAAUACAUCGGCAUCUACUUUUUCUUGGGUGAUAACGUAGGGAAACUUACGCUAAUACCGCAUACGAUCUACGGCUGAAAGCAGUGGAUCUUGGCACCUUUCGCGAUUCAUUUAGCCGAUGUCGGAUUAGCUAGUUGGCUGGGUAAAGGCCCACCAAGGCGACGAUACGUAGCUGGUCUGAGAGGAUGAUCAGCCACACUGGAACUGAGACACGGUCCAGACUCCUACGGGAGGCAGCAGUGGGGAAUAUUGGGCAAUGGGCGCAAGCCUGAUCCAGCCAUACCGCGUGGGUGAAGAAGGCCUUCGGGUUGUAAAGCCCUUUUGUUGGGAAAGAAAAGCAGCAGGUUAAUACCCCGCUGUUCUGACGGUACCCAAAGAAUAAGCACCGGCUAACUUCGUG